rnacentral:tRNA from 1 species
UCCCUGGUGGCUCAGACGGUAGAGAAUCUGCCUGCAGCGCAGGAGACCUGGGUUCAUUCCCUGGUCGGGAAG